CACAGGGUAAGAGAUAUAUAAAAAGGUGGUUAUUUACUUCAAAGAUGAUUCGUUCAUAUUUUUUCAUUAUUUUUAUUCUUUCAGAACAAUCCGACAGCGACUCUGAAACCGCUGAACGUGGUCCUGAGCAGCCAGCCGAUGAAGAGGAAGAGAACGCACCACCUCCUGCACCUGUACAGA